GAGCCCAAGAUUGAAAGCUGGCGUCUUCGGCGUCCGCAUUGUAAUCUCAAGAAGUGUUUUCCGCUUCGGACCAUGCCUAAGUCCCUUGGAAAAGGGCAUCAUAGAGGGUGAUAAUCCCGUACAUGGCAUGGAGCGCCCGAAGCUUUGUGAUACGCUUUCUAAGAGUCGAGUUGUUUGGGAAUGCAGCUCAAAAUGGGUGGUAAAUGCCAUCUAAGGCUAAAUAUUGGGGAGAGACCGAUAGCGAACAAGUACAGUGAUGGAAAGAUGAAAAGAACUUUGAAAAGAGAGUUAAACAGUACGUGAAAUUGCCAAAAGGGAAGGGUAGGAGGUCAGAGAUGCGUUCUGGGAUUCAGCCUUGCUUUUGCUUGGUGUUUUUCCCAGAUUGCAGGCCAACGUCGGUUUUGGGCGCUGGAGAAGGGUGGAAGGAAUGUGGCACCUCUCGGGGUGUGUUAUAGCCUUCUACUGGAUACAGUGACCGAGACCGAGGACAGCAGCGUACUCGCAAGAGCGGGCCUUCGGGCACCUUUACGCUUAGGGCGUUGGCAUAAUGGCCCUCUACCACCCGUCUU
rnacentral:rRNA from 1 species